rnacentral:rRNA from 1 species
UACGUAGGUGGCAAGCGUUGUCCGGAGUUAUUGGGCGUAAAGCGCGCGCAGGCGGCUUCGCGCGUCCGACGUGAAAGCCCCCGGCUCAACUGGGGAGGGUCACGCGAUACUGAUCGACUCGAAGGCAGGAGAGGGAAGUGGAAUUCCCGGUGUAGUGGUGAAAUGCGUAGAUAUCGGGAGGAACACCAGUGGCGAAGGCGACUUCCUGGCCUGUUCUUGACGCUGAGGCGCGAAAGCUAGGGGAGCAAACGGG